CAGACUGCUCUACCUCCUGUCAUAGUACUUGUCUCUUAUUGCUGUAAAACACCCAUUCUGAUUGAAAAUGAAUGACAACUGGUUGCUUUGCCUCUGUCUCUUGUAGCUGAUGUGACCAAGGGGUGAUGGG